rnacentral:rRNA from 1 species
AACGAACGCUGGCGGCGCGCCUAAUACAUGCAAGUCGAGCGAGAAGGUGUAGCAAUACACUUGUAAAGCGGCGAACGGGUGAGGAAUACAUGGGGUAACCUACCCUCGAGUGGGGAACGAACUAGCCGAAAGGUUAGCUAAUACCGCGUACGCUUCCGGGACUGCGGUUCCGGAAGGAAAGCGAUACUGUGAGUAUCGCGCUCUUGGAUGGGCUCAUGUCCUAUCAGCUUGUUGGUGAGGUAACGGCUCACCAAGGCUUCGACGGGUAGCUGGUCUGAGAGGACGAUCAGCCACACUGGCACUGCGACACGGGCCAGACUCCUACGGGAGGCAGCAGUAAGGAAUAUUGCGCAAUGGACGACAGUCUGACGCAGCGACGCCGC